GGCGACGGGAGCGGCGACAUCAGGAGCGACAUUAGUAGCAAAGCAGUUUCCUCAGAGCGACGAUGAAGAGAGAGAACGAUGCCCAUUGCGCGAUGCAAGCAAAUCAGGACAUCAACGAGUCUCUCCAAAGAUCCACUCCUCUCCAUCCUGUUCCGGUAGAGAUGGAUCUGCAACACAUGAGACGUACAACUCCUUUUUUUGCGGAGUUCGCAUAUCCUCCAACGUUAUGACCCCCUGGACUUCCCCUGUUCAUCAGGGGGAGUCCAGGGACCCGUCCCCUGGGACUGCGCGGCCUCCCACCGCCCCCGGG
rnacentral:misc_RNA from 1 species